CCCGCGAUAGCUCAUUUGGAAGAGCAAAGGACUGUAGUGGUUAUGAGAAACUGUUAUUCUUAGGUCACUGGUUUAUAUCCGGUUCGCGGGU
rnacentral:tRNA from 1 species